CAAUCUGCCCUUUUCAGGGCAACUAAAUAUUAACACAGAAAAGAUUG
rfam:Nasonia vitripennis chromosome 3 unlocalized genomic scaffold Chr3_random063, whole genome shotgun sequence.